AGAGUUUGAUCAUGGCUCAGGACGAACGCUGGCGGCGUGCUUAACACAUGCAAGUCGAACGGAAAGGCCCUUCGGGGUACUCGAGUGGCGAACGGGUGAGUAACACGUGGGUGAUCUGCCCUGCACUUUGGGAUAAGCCUGGGAAACUGGGUCUAAUACCGAAUAGGACCGCGCGCUUCAUGGUGUGUGGUGGAAAGCUUUUGCGGUGUGGGAUGGGCCCGCGGCCUAUCAGCUUGUUGGUGGGGUAAUGGCCUACCAAGGCGACGACGGGUAGCCGGCCUGAGAGGGUGACCGGCCACACUGGGACUGAGAUACGGCCCAGACUCCUACGGGAGGCAGCAGUGGGGAAUAUUGCACAAUGGGCGCAAGCCUGAUGCAGCGACGCCGCGUGAGGGAUGACGGCCUUCGGGUUGUAAACCUCUUUCACCAGGGACGAAGCGCAAGUGACGGUACCUGGAGAAGAAGCACCGGCCAACUACGUGCCAGCAGCCGCGGUAAUACGUAGGGUGCGAGCGUUGUCCGGAAUUACUGGGCGUAAAGAGCUCGUGGGUGGUUUGUCGCGUUGUUCGUGAAAACUCACAGCUUAACUGUGGGCGUGCGGGCGAUACGGGCAGACUAGAGUACUGCAGGGGAGACUGGAAUUCCUGGUGUAGCGGUGGAAUGCGCAGAUAUCAGGAGGAACACCGGUGGCGAAGGCGGGUCUCUGGGCAGUAACUGACGCUGAGGAGCGAAAGCGUGGGGAGCGAACAGGAUUAGAUACCCUGGUAGUCC
rnacentral:rRNA from 1 species